rnacentral:rRNA from 1 species
UUAAGUCCCGCAACGAGCGCAACCCCUGUGGUUAGUUGCCAGCAAGUAGCGUUGGGCACUCUAGCCAGACUGCCGGUGAUAAAUCGGAGGAAGGUGGGGACGACGUCAAAUCAUCAUGCCCUUUAUGUCCUGGGCUACACACGUACUACAAUGGCCGUUACAACGGGAAGCGAAGGAGCAAUCCGGAGCAAAUCCCUUAAAGGCGGUCCCAGUUCAGAUUGUGGGCUGAAACUCGCCCACAUGAAGGCGGAAUUGCUAGUAAUUGCAGAUCAGCAUGCUGCAGUGAAUACGUUCCCGGGCCUU